rnacentral:rRNA from 1 species
CAAACCCAAUUACACCCCCAACUUCUAUAACUACUGAACUCUAAGGGGACCCUGUACAAUUGGUUUUAGGUUGGGGCGACCACGGAGUAUAACAAAACCUCCACAAUGAACGGAACUAAUUCCUUAUAUAAGAAAUACACCUCUAAUAAUUAAAAUAUUAACAUAAAAUGAUCCACUUUUUGAUCAAUGAACCAAGUUACCCUGGGGAUAACAGCGCAAUCCAUUUCGAGAGCCCCUAUCGACAAAUGGGU